CCGACCGCCGCGUCAUUCAUCAGUUUUCUCUUGCCGUGAGUGGGUCGUGCUUCUUGUGUGAUGUGCGGAAAAAUUGUGUCCUCCAUACCCGUGCCCAGCAGCAGCAGUAGCAGCAGAUUAUUCAUCCAUCAGCAGCAGCAGCGCUACCUUUUUUCUUUAGUUUUUUGUUGAGUUUUCCGCCCGGAAAACCCGGUUUUCUCUUCAGUUUUUUUUCUGCUAGUUGGUUAAACCCGUUCCGAUGAAAAAACGGUCCAAAAGAAGUAGUAGUGAAAAAUCCCUUUCCCGACGUUAGGAAUUUUACUAGUGGCCAAGAAAAGAAGCAAGAAGAGGAAUAAAAAGUGGGCUGCCAAGCGACGACGGUGCGAGACGAGAAACAGACAAUAAUUUUCUUAAAAGUGCUCGUGGAUUUUCGAGCGAAAAGGAGAAAAAAUUGCCAAAUUUGCGGCGACGAAUCGGAAAAACGGUGGCGGAAAAGCGCAUUUUGUGCGAGACUGGCUGAAAAAGUGUUCUGGGUGUGCAAUUACCGUGCGAGGACCAUUUUUACUUUAUUGGUUUAUUUAUUUUAAUAAUGAGUGAUUAUUCCAACCAGAACUCGCAAAAUUUUAGUCAAUCGUCAGCAUUUGCAGCCGCUUUACAGAGAGCUAAACAAAUUGCAGCUAAAAUACACCCGGGUGGUAACCAACCGGUUAAGAGAUCGAUUGAGGACGACUCGGGACCAGAAUCGAAAAAGUUUGGUGGACAGUCCGAUUAUAACAAUGCCCAUUCGCCGACUGGCAUGAGUCCAGCUGCUAUGCAAGCCGCUGCUCAAGCUGCAGCCGUAGCCGCACGUUUGUCGCAAAUCAAUAAUAACUCAAACUCGAACUCAACCGCCGGUGGAGCACAGGAUCCAGUCCAGAGAGCACGUGACCUUAUUAGCAAGAUGGUGAACCAACAGGGAGGCGGUGGCCACAAUGGCCCAAUGGACAAUGGCAACCAUGGUGGUGCCGGAGGCGGUGGCCGCGGAGGAUUCGGCGGAGGCCCAGGAAACUUCAAUAACCAACCCUACCAAGAAAUAAUGAUCCCCGGUUCCAAGGUGGGACUGAUCAUUGGUAAAGGAGGCGAAACAAUCAAACAACUGCAGGAGAAAUCCGGAGCCAAAAUGGUCAUUAUCCAAGAUGGACCAGGACAGGAAAUGGAAAAACCACUACGUAUUUCCGGCGAUCCACAAAAGGUGGAACAUGCCAAACAGCUGGUCUUUGACCUUAUCCAGGAGAAGGAUAACUAUAACGCCCAACGACAACAGCAGGCACCAAUGAACGGAACCGAACAGGCGGAAGUCUUCGUUCCAAAGUCAGCAGUUGGCGUCGUCAUCGGCAAAGGAGGUGACAUGAUCAAAAAGAUUCAGGGCGAUUCUGGCUGCAAGCUGCAGUUCAUUCAGGGUCGUGGUGACGGACCGGGUGACCGUCGUUGCAUUGUGCAAGGCUCCAGGGCUCAAGUCGAAGAGGGAAAACGAAUGAUCGAGGAGCUGAUCGAAAGUGUCCAACGCCGAGAACAAGGUGGUGGUGGACGCGGAGGUCGGGGUGGCGAUCGGGAUGACCGCGGAGAUCGGGGAGAUCGACCGCAUCGGGGUGGCCGUGACAACCACGACAACGGCAACAAUGGACAGUAUGGCAAUGACUUCAGUGGUCCGCAAGUCACACGAGAAGAAUACACGUUCACGGUUCCGGUUAACAAGUGUGGUAUUAUCAUCGGCCGCGGUGGAGACACCAUCAAGCAGAUCAACCAGCAGUCUGGAGCCCACACCGAAAUGGAUCGCAAGGCGUCCGCUAACCAGACGAACGAGAAAACUUUCACCACAAAGGGUGAACCACACCAAAUUGAGGAAGCGAAGCGAUUGAUCCAGGACAAGAUCAACAUGGAAAUCAAUCUGGUCUACGUUGGUACCUCGACUGCUCCCGCCCAACAGUAUCAGAACAAUGGCCAACAGAAUGCCUAUGGUCAGAGCUGGGGUGGCUAUCAGCAACAGUCGUGGGAACAAACCCCUCAGGUACAAGCCAGUGCGGCGUCCGCUGCGGCAGUCCAACAGCAACAGCAAGCUGGUGGUGGACAAGCGGACUACUCGCAGCAAUGGAUUGAAUACUAUCGACAAAUGGGAAUGCACCGGGAGGCAGAGAUGAUCGAACAACAGGUCAAGGCACGACAGGCGGCAUCGCAACAAGGCGCAGCGGCAGCAGUGGCAGCGACGGUCCAAACGACACAAGGUACAUCAGUGGUUGCAACGAGCAAUGCCGGAGCUCAACAGGCGAGUGGCGGAGGCGGCGGUGGUGGCCAAGCGGAUUACAGUGCCGAAUGGGCCGAGUACUACCGACGACUCGGUAGGAUCGACGAAGCCGAGGCGAUUGAAAAGCAAAUCGCUGCUAAUAAGUCUGUGCCGUCUGGGGCUGGUAGCGGAGGUCAACCGGGAGGUGCAGCUGGGCAGCAAUUUGGCGGUGCCGGUGGAGCACCCGGAGGCGCUGGUGGUGGCAAUCCACAACAGAUGGCAGCACAGCAAGCAGCCGGAGGUUUCAAUGCCCAACAGUUCCAACAGUACUACGCGGGGGCAGCCGCCGGAGGCCAACCCGGAGGAUACCAAGGGUAUCCCUAUGGGGGAGGAUAUCCGGGACAGCAAGGUGGACAACCUGGUCAGCAACAAGGCGGCCAGGGCCCGGACAAAAACUAACGAGUGUACGCUAGAUGUGCGUACCAGAGUCGAAUGCUCCACCCACCCGAUGACGACUUUUCUCCCCCUUCCAAUCCCGUAAAAUGUUAAGAUUAUGAAUGCUAUAUAACCAUAUGUAUCGACUAUUCGACAGAAAUACAGAGUAACAAAACUAGCGUUGAAGCUAUGUAGGUCAAAUGAAAAACUAGGGUUGAUCACAGCUUAAUAGUAAAAGCAGAAAAACACAGACACUAAACGUAGCUAUAAUCAAGAAACUGAAAAGAACAAGAACAUUCAACUUAACGUAAACGUAAAGAAAGCGUAGUAAACUAAACAUUAACCAAAUGCAUUCAAAUUCAAUAGAAUCUAUAUAUGUGUAUGUGUCCGUUUGAAACUUUAGGUUUUGGAUGGGUUUGAUUCCGGGUAUGACGGUACCGUGCAAAAGUAACUGUUCUACACUGCGACGAAAAAAACCAAGCGAGAACUGUGCGGUGCGUUUCCUGUAAUAGUCUCCCGAACUACGGCGGGUCUUUGAGGGUUCGCUUCUGUGUCAAUAUUUUACCCGAAAGCGAACUCUCCCAGUCAUAUUGGCGCAUCUGAAUACACUGCUACAAAUGAGUUCCUUUUAGAUUAUGGUAUAUAUGUUUUUCGAAUUAUAUGCUUUACCAAAUGAUGUAGACAAUUCCAUAUAGAUGCCACUAUCAUACGAUUAAACUAAAUACUAAACUUAUUAAAUGAAUUGAUAUCACACUGUUCUAUAUUAUUAUAUUUAUCAUUUCAUUUACCUUAUCAUAAACAUCUAUUUUAUUAAAUAAGAAAAAUGGCCAUUUUUCUUUGACAUUUAUACUAUUUUAUUACCAAUCGUAUGUCCCAUUCUUUAUUUUCUCAAGCUUCUUUUUACUUUCAUCGACAAGAUCAUCAAAAAACAGACGCUAACAGUGCAGGUUUUAGCUAAAGUUGCCGGAGGAUAUUGGCGUAGGGACGUACGGGGAAAAUAUAGUGCGAGUUUGAUCUCGUCCGACCGGGAAGGUAAUUUUCAUACAGUAAACUACUGCUUUAUGAUGAUUUUUACAACUAAAUUUACUAUUAUAUGAUCUGUAUCUGUAAUAUUCAUGCCACUAUAUGAUACUGUGUAAUGAUGUGUUUAUCUAUAGAACCAUACACAACUUGCCACAUUUAACUUACUUCUGAAUGCAUUGAUUUCCCAAUAUCAAAGUGUUAUUCUGUUCUAAAAAAUGGUCAAUGUUCUUAUAUCAGAUGGACUCAUGAAUAAUUGUAUAUUGAUUUAUCUUCGGAAUUGUUUAAAUCUGCAACAGCUAAAGUGUGUAAUUCGAUUGCCUCCCCCAAACAAAGGAGCGUCGCCUAGUGUGGUGUUCAAAUCGGCAUGGAAACCGUUGGAAAGUUGUGGAACAGUGAAGAAUCAAACACAACAAAUACUACAAAGUUCUCAGUUUCUCGUUAUCAUACUCUUGUGGUUUAACAGUCCAGUAAAUACCCGAAGAAACAAAGAAAAAUGAACAAUAGUAACAGACAAACAAGCAAAGACACUUCAAUGAAAGGUGAUAAUUAUAAACUCAGAAAAGCCAAACAUAGUUCAGAAGACAGUUUCAAACAAAGACAAAUAUAGUGAAUCGAACAAUGGCAAAAAAAGUGACUGGAGAGCAGUUUCUGAAAGGCUUCUCCCUCCUGUAAUAAAGGGAAACCAAACAAGGAUACGAAACAUGAUGACGGAGUGUGAACCCAAGGUGAGAUUGUAUCGAGAAUUGCGUUAAAUGUGAAUGAUUUUGAUUUUAUUUACUGAUGUUUAAUUACAUUUGUCGCUCCCAUAUUGCGUGUCACAAUGUUUCACAUGCAAUCCAUAAAAAAUAAACAUUUGAAUGAAACAAUGUGUAUAGUCAAGGGUUUAUUGAUUCCGUAAUCUUAGACACGAGAACGUUCAAAUACAUCCUCCCCCAAAAGUUAGCUUAUCUAAUAACAUAUUUUAGUACCAUAAGAUAUCAAUUAUUAUCUACACCCAUAAUGCACAUUACAUGAAGCAACAGUUUUAUCUCAAUAGUUCUGCUCCAAAAGCAUAAAAGAGCAUUCUUUUAUUUCCUAUGUCACUGCAAUCUAUUCCAAAUGAUCACUUGAAUAAAUUUCGAACACUGAUUAGAUUCACUUAUUCUAGAUAGGAAUAAAGAAAUAAAAGUGUCAGUGUGCAAAAGUUUGUUCCGCUCAAUCGCAGCGCAGCGGUUCACCAAGAAGUUGUCCGGAAUCUGGUUAUACCCGUCGACAGCGAGAACGAGGCUGGCUUCCAUACAUCACUCCAGAUUGCGCGGCCACGAUGACUACGUGUCGCUACAGCAGUAGUGUAAUAGAUCUCAUUUUUUUUUCUGAGUUUACUACCGUUUUGUUUGCAUCCAGAAGACAUGUAAUGCAACCUGGAUUAGGGAUAGCCAUCCCAGUUUGGUGUGAGCAGUUAAUUAUUCUGGAGAGUAAGCAAAGUGAGUUACUUGUAUCUUUUUCUUGUUCGGUUAAAUACAGCUGUUCGUCAUACCCAG